rnacentral:lncRNA from 10 species
UGGGGAUGUAGAAAAGAAUGAGGCACCAUUAUGGCCCUCAGGGCAUUUCUGGCCUAAUGGAGACCCAGAUGUGUAGAUAACUCAGCCACACACAGCAUGACAGGAGCUGCAGGAAGCCAGUAUGAGCUCCCUUUGGUGGUGCUGAAGAACAUUUCCCAGAAGAGGGGCCAUUCAAAAUGGGUUCUGAUGGAUGAGUAGGAGUUUGCCAGCUAGGAGCCUGCCUCCUCUGGUGUUGAUGAGAGCUGACUGGGGUGCAGUGACCUCUUGGAGCUUCCAAUAUUCCCAGAACACUUGUCCUCAUGCAUUUUACCUAAAUUGAUGCCAAGGGUCCCCUGGGCAAGGUCCCUGGGAGGCUCUGAAAUAAGCAAGACACAGCUUCCCACAAUAUGAGGAAAGGGACCCUGAACAAAUUCAGAGUCUCCUCUUCCAGCUCACCUGCUCCUGUCAGAGCUCCUCGGUGCUUCCAGAGUCUCUGGGGGAAGGUGCUGGAAUCUUCUAGAGCUCCUCCUUCCCUUCAUCUUCUGCACCAGCCAGGCUGAGGUUCCAGGCGUCCUCCUUCCUGCUCAUACCUGGUUUCAGAAUCUCCUCACCUCAGGCCUCCAGGCUGGCCUGUGCCCCCCGGCACCUCCUGGGCCAGUCCCACCUCUGACUAAGCCUCCAAAGAGCUAAUGACUCCUGGCUUCAGACCUUCACCUGGCCCCCUCUUCCCUUCUGCAUCCCAUCCAAGCCCCUUCUGCUCCUCUCCCUCUGACCUUAGCGGACACCUCACCUCAGCACAGUCCUGCUGCUCCAUCAGGCCAUUUCAUUGGCAUUGAUUCAUCUGUUCAAUUAUGCAUUCACUUAACAAAUAUGUAUUGAGUGCCUACUAUGUGCCAGAAGCGGUGUUAGGCACCGA